rfam:Gossypium hirsutum cultivar TM-1 chromosome 14, whole genome shotgun sequence
AGUUGAAAAUUUCAUUCAUUUGUACUGAUAAAAACUGGCAUAGCUGACGGAAUAACCAAAAAGUAACACAUGACGUGUCAUGUGUAUCUGAUACUGAUGUACAAGGACCAUUUUUUAACUGUAGAACUGGAUGAAAUUUUUUACA